GGCCCCAUCGUCUAGAGGCCUAGGACAUCACCCUUUCAAGGUGGAGGCGGGGGUUCGAAUCCCCCUGGGGCCACCA
rnacentral:tRNA from 2 species